CCUACGGGUGGCUGCAGUGAGGAAUAUUGGUCAAUGGCCGAGAGGCUGAACCAGCCAAGUCGCGUGAGGGAAGACGGCCCUACGGGUUGUAAACCUCUUUUGUCGGGGAGCAAAGCGAGUCACGUGUGACUCAUUGAGAGUACCCGAAGAAAAAGCAUCGGCUAACUCCGUGCCAGCAGCCGCGGUAAUACGGAGGAUGCGAGCGUUAUCCGGAUUUAUUGGGUUUAAAGGGUGCGCAGGCGGAGGUGCAAGUCAGCGGUCAAAUUGCGGGGCUCAACCCCGUACUGCCGUUGAAACUGCAUCCCUUGGGUGCGCGAGAAGUAUGCGGAAUGCGUGGUGUAGCGGUGAAAUGCGUAGAUAUCGAGAGGAACACUCGUGGCGAAGGCGGGUUCCUGGACAUUAACUGACGCUGAGGCACGAAGGCCAGGGGAGCGAAAGGGAUUAGAUACCCGGGUAGUC
rnacentral:rRNA from 1 species